rnacentral:rRNA from 1 species
CGGCCGCGUCGACGGCAAUGAUACGUAGCCGAACUGAGAGGUUGAUCGGCCACAUUGGGACUGAGACACGGCCCAAACUCCUACGGGAGGCAGCAGUAGGGAAUCUUCCACAAUGGACGCAAGUCUGAUGGAGCAACGCCGCGUGAGUGAAGAAGGCUUUCGGGUCGUAAAACUCUGUUGUUGGAGAAGAAUGGUCGGUAGAGUAACUGUUGUCGGCGUGACGGUAUCCAACCAGAAAGCCACGGCUAACUACGUGCCAGCAGCCGCGGUAAUACGUAGGUGGCAAGCGUUAUCCGGAAUGAUUGGGCGUAAAGCGUCCGCAGGUGGCAGUUCAAGUCUGCUGUCAAAGACCGGGGCUUAACUUCGGAAAGGCAGUGG